AGCGAACGCUGGCGGCAGGCCUAACACAUGCAAGUCGAACGAAGUCUUCGGACUUAGUGGCGGACGGGUGAGUAACACGUGGGAACGUGCCUUUAGGUUCGGAAUAACUCAGGGAAACUUGUGCUAAUACCGAAUGUGCCCUUCGGGGGAAAGAUUUAUCGCCUUUAGAGCGGCCCGCGUCUGAUUAGCUGGUUGGUGAGGUAAUGGCUCACCAAGGCUACGAUCAGUAGCUGGUCUGAGAGGAUGACCAGCCACAUUGGGACUGAGACACGGCCCAAACUCCUACGGGAGGCAGCAGUGGGGAAUCUUGCGCAAUGGGCGAAAGCCUGACGCAGCCAUGCCGCGUGGAUGAUGAAGGUCUUAGGAUUGUAAAAUCCUUUCACCGGUGAAGAUAAUGACUGUAGCCGGAGAAGAAGCCCCGGCUAACUUCGUGCCAGCCGCCGCAGUAACAA
rnacentral:rRNA from 1 species